rnacentral:rRNA from 1 species
ACGCUCGACACCUACGGGAGGCAGCAGUGGGGAAUAUUGCACAAUGGGGGAAACCCUGACGCAGCGACGCCGCGUGAGCGAAGAAGUAUUUCGGUAUGUAAAGCUCUAUCAGCAGGGAAGAAACUGACGGUACCUGACUAAGAAGCACCGGCUAAAUACGUGGCAGCAGCCGCGGUAAUCUGAGCGGGCUGGCAAGGCU